GACGAACGCUGGCGGCGUGCUUAACACAUGCAAGUCGAGCGGUAAGGCCCUUUCGGGGGUACACGAGCGGCGAACGGGUGAGUAACACGUGGGUGACCUGCCCUCAGCUCUGGGAUAAGCCUGGGAAACUGGGUCUAAUACUGGAUAUGACUCCACGGUGCAUGUCGUGGGGUGGAAAGCCUUGUGCGGCUGAGGAUGGGCCCGCGGCCUAUCAGCUUGUUGGUGGGGUGANGGCCUACCAAGGCGACGACGGGUAGCUGGCCUGAGAGGGCGACCGGCCACACUGGGACUGAGACACGGCCCAGACUCCUACGGGAGGCAGCAGUGGGGAAUCUUGCGCAAUGGGCGAAAGCCUGACGCAGCGACGCCGCGUGAGGGA
rnacentral:rRNA from 1 species